rnacentral:tRNA from 1 species
GUGGCUGUGGCUCAGCGGCAGAGCGCUCACCUCACAAGUGCAAAGCCCUGGGUUUGAUCCUCAGCACCAUA